GAGGGUAUAGCUCAGUGGUAGAGCACAUGCUUAGCAUGUACACAGUCCUGUAUUCAAUCCUCAGUAUUUUUA
rnacentral:tRNA from 1 species